ensembl:misc_RNA Y_RNA Y RNA
GGUUGGUCCAAUGGUAGUGGGUUAUCAGACCUUAUUAACAUUUAGUGUCACUAAAGUUGGUAUACAACCCCCACUGCUAAAUUUGAAUGGCUUAAA